rnacentral:rRNA from 1 species
GCCAGCCCGCUCAGAAACUCAAAGGAAUUGACGGGGCCGCCACAAGCGGUGGAGUAUGUGGUUUAAUUCGAUGCAACGCGAAGAACCUUACCUGGUCUUGACAUCCCGGAGACCCUUAGGAAACUAGGGGUGCUUCCAUCUGGAAGAAUCUGGAGACAGGUGCUGCAUGGCUGUCGUCAGCUCGUGUCGUGAGAUGUUGGGUUAAGUCCCGCAACGAGCGCAACCCUUGCCUUUAGUUGCCAGCAGUUCGGCUGGGCACUCUAAAGGGACUGCCGGUGUUAAACCGGAGGAAGGUGGGGAUGACGUCAAGUCCUCAUGGCCUUUAUGACCAGGGCUACACACGUACUACAAUGGCCGAUACAAAGGGCAGCGACACUGCGAGGUGAAGCCAAUCCCGUAAAAUCGGUCUCAGUCCGGAUUGGAGUCUGCAACUCGACUCCAUGAAGUUGGAAUCGCUAGUAAUCGUGGAUCAGCAUGCCACGGUGAAUACGUUCCCGGGCCUU